rnacentral:snRNA from 1 species
AAAAAGGGUAUCUGCCUGCUAAAUGGCACACAGUUCCAACGGAGCUGUGCAGAAUCGCUAGCAAGAGAUUCUGGGUACGUAAUUUUUGGGUCUUGAGGCAGCUGGUAGCCAUUUGCUCUGGCGCCUCA